ensembl:processed_transcript
GCGUGCUGGCUGUUUACACUAACUUACAGUUCCGCCUGUGCGCCAAAUUCAAACGAGAAGGAAUUCGUUUUUGAGUGUAAACACUUUAUAUUUGCGUGUUUUAUUUUCAUCUAAGCCAAUCAAAAUGUUUUCACAAGACACGGAUUAAUAGAGGAGUAAUAUGAACUAGCCUACUUUUAUAACACGUUUAAGGGCUGUUUGGAGUUUGAGAGCUAGAGUACAGCACAGUCGCCAUUUUUUACAGAUGAAUCGUCAACACAAGCUUGGAUCGACAUUAAAUGACGAUGCCCAUGAGGAAUGCAGGGUGGAGGCUGGUCUGUGAAGACAUCUUCAAAACCACAGAAACACACUUUUCAUCAUGAAACUCUGCAAUCUUUCUUCUGUCCGUGCUCUUCUGAUCAAACAUGUCCUCUGGCCUGAAGGUUUUUACAGAGUUCCUCUCCUUCAAGCAAUGCUGAACACCAGCACCGCAUAGCCAGAGAAAGGGUUUUUGAAACCUGACAUUUCCUCAGAGUCCCCUGCUGACUUAAUCAUGGCAAAUAUUGCAUGUCAUUUGUUUGCCACGCAUGGACCUGGCUGAUGGUAGUAGUAGUAAUUCACCACCGCUGUGCGCCGGUUCCUGGAGUGCACUCCAGUGAUGGUGUCGUGCACGUCAGCGCAUAGACAUGACAACCAGGAUCAUCACCAAACUGAGACCAUGCUUGGAACAGAGUAUUGCUUCAGUAACACACUCUACACUGUAUGCUGCAUUUAAACAAAACACUGAAACCGUGUGUGUGCAGUCAUUUACAAUGUUUUAUACACAUUAUUUAUGCUUUUAAUUGUGUGGCAUUGUGCUUUUAUUUAAGUGAAUAGCAUUAUUAAAAUAUUUUAUUAUAU